GAGGUCGUGGUUGUGGCGCUCCUCGAUGUCGCUGAGCUGCCGCUCCAGGGACUCCUUAGUGCCUCGCACCGACUCGAGCUCGAUGCUCUUGGACUGCAGCUGGCGCCGGUACUCGGCGAUCUCUUCCUUGGCAGAGCGAAUGGCCUCCUUGUUCUGCUCGGCCGCCUCGGUGAGCUUGGCGUAGCGGCAUUUGAACCACUCUUCGGCCUGGUGCAUGUUCUGGUCUGAGUGACACUCGAGCUGGGAGCGGAUCUCCUUCAGCGCCGUGGAGAUGUCUGUCUUCAGGUAAUCUUUGCGCUCUACCGUGAUGUGCGACGCCUGGAUCUGAGCCAGCAGGUCGGCCACCUCCUCUUCGUGAUUGCUCCGCAGGAAAGCCACCUCAUCCUGCAGCGACUGCACCUUCUUGUCCAGCUCCACCUUAACCAUCGACGACUCUUCGAUGUCUUUGCGCAGCGCGCGAAUGGCAGCCUCGGUGUCGUCCCGCAGCCGCGCCUCCUCCUCGAAGCGCUCCUUGAGCCGGUGGAUGUCUUCCUCCAAGUGAUCGGAGUCCAGCUGCACUUGAGCCUUCUCGUGGUUCACCAUCUCGAGGGUGGCGCGCAGCUCUCGGAUCUCCUGGUCGUAAGCAUCACCCAGCUGGGCGUGCGAGGCCUGCUUCUGCCGCAGUGCCUGGAUCUCUGCUUCGAUCUCCUUGUUCUGUUGUUCCAAGUAGUGCACUUUCUCGAUGUAGCCGGCGAAGCGGUCGUUCAGCCCCUGCAGCUGCUCUUUCUCGUUAGAGCGGGACAGUUUGUAGUCGCCGCCGGAGCCGCCGUUGAGCAGCGACGAGGACUGGCUGAAGUCGAGGCUGCUCUCGGCCGAGCUGAGCAUAGCCGAGCUGUAGGCGAGACGCGGGGCGAGCGCGCUGCGCUUGUAGGAGGAGGACACGGUGCUGGGCGAGCCGCGGGACCAGGACUGCGAGCGGAAGCCGCUGGACGGGGAACCGCUCACGCGGCUGAAGCUGGAGCGGGUCUCGGUGACCCGCCGGUAGGCGGACGGGUUGCCCAGCGAGUCCAGCGUGUAGCUCAUCUUGGAGGCCUUGGGCAAGAGAUGAGCUGAGAGUUAUGCAGAAGAAAAAAAAGAGAGAGUUUUUGAGGAAUGGCCCGCCGGAAACCUCCGGAAAGGGGACAAAGAAGACAGGCCGGGGUAGUCAUUUGUGUUAAAAGUGGAAAGUGGCACUCCAGUCUGCUUAACUGUUGGGGGACGACUGCAGCUUCCAGCAGUUGAUCAAAUUGACCGAAAGGUUUGUUCAAGACCACACACCUUCCAAGUGGUGGUGCUGGGACCAGGCUCAGCUCUUCUGGUGGCACUGGUAACAUUACACAACUCCCUCAGUAGACUGCCAGAUCCGGUCUCCAGCUGGAACCUUCAACACAAAUGUGAACGCUGCAGAGAGGAACGUCGUGGUAAUGUGGCUACGAGAGUUACUGAUCAUUUACGUGUAUCCAGUGUGUUAAAUGUUUGGCCCCAAACUUCCCUGAGUCUUAUUCAAUCAACACAAUUUCCUCAAGAUGACCUUGUUAUCAUCUCCAUUUUUAUAGAAAAAAAAAAAGCAAUCAAGUACAGAGACACAAAGAAGUUAAAUAUACACAUAACCGCAAGGUCAUUAGAAGGUCAUUGUUUCCAACUUUAAAAGCAAUCUCUCAUUUUAAAUAUCUCUCAUUAGUGCCUAAUUGUCAUGCCACGUUAAAAACACUCAGGCAAUGUUAUGCAUACAUAUUCUUCCCCCUUCUGCAAUUAAUAUCAAAAGACUUUAAUUUCUCAGAUGACUAUUUUUUUAUUGUUUCAUUUGUGACUUUAUUAAAGACAUUAAAAACA
rnacentral:lncRNA from 1 species